rnacentral:lncRNA from 1 species
UUGAAAACGACCAGCUAUCAGCAGGGAGCAAAGCAAGGAAGGAGGAGCUCAAGUCCUGCAUAUCAGUACAAGAACAUUAAAGUCUGCAAGCCAGAGUCAGAGUACAAAACCUGGACUUUGUGUGGUGGAGUUUGGCUUGCCAUCUGCCUGACAGUGCCAAGGAAGCACAGCAGUGAGGCAUGGGUGGAAAUGAGAAACAAAGAGAGCAGUUCACCUCUCCCCAGCCCUGUGACCCCUUGGAGGCUGUGCAGCUGCUCAAAGAGGACAUCACACAGCAGAACUGGAUUUCCUUGGGGUUUGUGCUGGAAGGGAAGUGAAGGAAGAAGUUUUAAAAUUUGGAGGCCAUCCUCGGUAAUGAAAGCAAACAGAGUGCACACUGUGCAGAAGUCCCUGAACAAGAACUGACUUUCACAUACUGAAGGCUCACCUGUGCCUGGCAUAGCUUGGAUCAGCUCUGACUUCAAUUUAAGCUAAAAUGGGUGGUCUUUGUGCCUGUCCUCUUACAUUCACUUAAAUGCAAAUUUUUUUUUCCCUGAGGACAACUGAGAGACUUCCUCCAUAAAUGUGUAUUUUUUUAGAUGUGUUUCUGUAGUGGCUGCAUAGAGAAGCUUAAUUGAUUUGUGUAAAGUCUAG